UACAGAGGUGGCAAGCGUUGUUCGGAAUUACUGGGCGUAAAGGGCGCGUAGGCGGUCCGAUAAGUCCCGUGUGAAAGCCCCCGGCUCAACCGGGGAACGGCGCGGGAAACUAGCAGGCUUGAGUUCGGGAGAGGGAAGCGGAAUUCCGGGUGUAGCGGUGAAAUGCGCAGAUAUCCGGAGGAACACCGGUGGCGAAGGCGGCUUCCUGGACCGACACUGACGCUGAGGCGCGAAAGCUAGGGGAGCAAACGGG
rnacentral:rRNA from 1 species